AUUAAAGAGGGGCAUGACUCCCACUUCAUUGCUUGAGGACACAAAAAAGAGCAGCUACGACAGUGGAUUAGAAGGAGAGAGGGGUUUUUCGAAAAGAAAAGCAGUCUCUACUGAACCAGGAAAUAAUUUAACCAACCAAAGGGAGCAGUCCAUGGCAUUGAACAGUGAGGGCCUCGUGGGACUGAUUCCACGGGCUAAACUUUUGUUAACACUUGGAGGGACUUUCUUCUUGGGGUUUUGACCACUGAUUCUUACAAAUGUGGCAUCCUUUUCUGCUCUGUACCUCUAUUUUGGACUGACUUUUGUCCACGAUGGAAGCAAUGUGCAAGUGUCGCCACCCCAGUACAUCAAUCCAUAUGCGCUUCUCGAAGACGAAAGAAUAUCCGAAACGGCUCCUCGAGUUAAUUGAAGCAGGAAACGUCAUCACUCGAGCCAAUUCAUUGAAGAUCUCUGUUGCAAC